AGAUCACAAAAUCACCCAUCCAACGGACAGUAAUACAUACAUGAAUUCCUCCAUGAAAACAGCGAAAGUAGACGGUAAGUUGCGUCCUCUCAUUUUUCCCGGUCCGCGGCGGCGUCCUAGUCCCUCUUUAAACAGGUAAACCCAAAAAAAAAAAAAAACUUCAUCUAAUUAUUUACCCGAAAUGAAUCUCAAAGCCAAAGUUGAAAUACCAAUUAAAGAACUAAGAUACAGCCUUUAGAUUUCUGUAUUCAGAGCUUUGUUUGUUUCAAGUAUAAACAAUCUGUGCCUUAACUUUUUCUUUACUAAUUGCUCCUCAAUGCCCGAAAUAGUUUGCUUUGCCAUGAGCUUAGUUUCUCUACUGUACUUUGCUAUGCUAUGCUAGUUUGCAGAAUGCUUGUCAUAGAUUUUCUUAUGAAGUUAUGUUUCGAGGGGAAUUUAGAAUGUUGAACCUGUAAGCUUUAUGUUCCAAUUAGAUAAUGAAAUUUGUCACUGUCCGAGGAAUAUCCAACAGCUUGAACUUAGAUUUCAGCUUGAAAGUAAUAGGAUUGAAUCUCGGGAUCCGGAGAGUGGGGUUUGUGGGACUAGGAAGUUUUAUCUCGCUUUGUGUAACUCACUGUUCAAUAACUUCCACAUAUUCAAACUUAAGGAAAAAAAAAAUUGGAAAUCGAUAAAUUCGCAACUAAGUGGGCAUGAAACAACUAUAGUUAUUGAUUAAUGAGUUUAAAAACUUUUGUCUAACUUCGUUUGUAACACAUGAGAAUUAAAGGGUGCCGAAUAAUUUAUUUGACAGGAUUGAGAAAAUAAAAUGGAAGAAGAGCCUUCUAGUGAAGGUAAAGAAAUAGUUGACUCAUAUGUGGCAUUGGAAGAUAAAGGUGAUGGGUGUUGUAUGGUAGAGGAUGAUGCAAAUCCAAUUGUUUUGGAUGACCCUGGAAAGGAGGAUGAACAUUUGAAUCUUGAGUUUUCUCAAUACUUAGUAGGUGGAGCUUUAGAGCCUACACUAGGGAUGGAGUUUACUUCUGAGGAUGAUGCUAGGAAUUUCUACAAUGCGUAUGCUAAGCAGACAGGUUUUAGUAUUCGUGUGAAUUCUUAUUAUCGAUCAAAGAAGGAUAAUUCGAUUAUAUCUAGAGAAUUUUGUUGUUCCAAAGAAGGGUUUCGCCGGGAGAAACGUUCAAGAAAUGUGGAUUCGGGGGAUGAUACAAAGAAGAGGCGUUCUAGGCCUAUCACAAGGGAGGGUUGCAAGGCGUUGAUGACUGUCAGGAGACGGGAUAAUGGAAAGUGGUAUGUAGCUAAGUUAGAGAAAAGUCAUAGCCAUGAGCUUGUGACUCCUGCAAUGAGGCAUUUUCUUCGGUCACAUAAGGAAGAGUAUGAUCCAAAGAAAAGUUUGAGUGGCUCUAUCAGUUCCUCGGGAGUGUGCAUGAAUGCUUCUGUAAAUGUGUUGACUGAAGAAUGUAACAGUUUUGGCAAAUUGGGAUUUGCCGCACAUAAUAAUAUUAACUUUAUUGGAAAAGGAAGGUUAAGCAAUUUUGGGGUAGAUGCACAAAGUUUGCUUGGGUUCUUUAAAGUUAUGCAAGCUCGUGAUCCUGCGUUUUAUUAUGCUAUACAGGUUGAUGAGGAAGAUCGGCUAAGUAGUGUUUUUUGGGUUGACACAAGAUCAAGAAUUGCCUAUAAUUGUUUCUCUGAUGUUGUAUCUUUUGACACUACUUAUCAAGUGAAUCAAUAUAAAAUGCCAUUUGCACCUUUUAUUGGGGUAAAUCAUCAUAGACAGUCAGUGUUGUUUGGUUGUGCAUUGCUAGCAGAUCAAACUGAAUCUACAUUCAUUUGGCUUUUCACAACUUGGCUUGAGGCAAUGUCUAGGCGGCAGCCAGGUUUACUUAUAACUGAUUAUGAUUCUGCCAUUAGCAGAGCUGUAGAAAGUGUUUUCCCACAGUCAAGCCAUCGAUAUUGCAAAUGGCACAUCCUGAGCAAAAUGCCCAAGGAAAUGGGUCAUGUAUACAGUGCACUUCCAAAGACAUUUCAAGUGGAGUUUGACAAAUGCGUUAACAAGAGUGAGACACCUGAAGAAUUUGAAUCUGCUUGGCACUUGCUUCUUGACAAGUACAAUCUUAGAGGAAAUGAAUGGCUUCAAUCCCUUUAUAUUGACCGCAAGUUAUGGGUAUCAACAUAUGUGAGAGACACAUUCUUUGCUGCCAUGUAUACAACCCAGCGAAGCAAAAGUGUUAACUCACUAUUUGAUGGCUAUGUAAACGCAGGGACCACAUUACAAGAUUUUGCAGAGCAAUAUGAGAAGGCUCUGGAUGAUCGAUAUGAGAAGGAAGCUAGGGCAGAGUUUGAAACUUUUUACACUAAACCAGUUUUAAAGACACCACUUCCUAUGGAAAAACAAGCAACAGAAGUUUACACGAGAAAAUUGUUCUCAGUUUUCCAAGAUGAAAUUUAUGAAUCUCUUGUGCUUGCUGUGAAUUUAAGUCAAGAUGAAAGAUUAUCUAGGACAUAUGAGGUAGCAAGAUUUGAUGAAGAACAUAAAGUAUACUUUGUAGGAUUAAAUAUAGCUGACCAGAUAGCUAGUUGUAGUUGCAAGAUGUUUGAGUUUGAAGGGAUCCUUUGCAGACAUGUCAUUGCUGUGUUCAAAGCAACAAAUAUCUUCCUGCUUCCACAACAUUAUAUUUUAAGGCGAUGGACAAGAAAUGCUAAGGAUGAGGCUAUGUUGGAUGCAAUGCCAUCUGUUGAGAUGAAUGGUAAUUCUCAAAAGGGGAAGAACUCACAGUACAAUCUUUUGUAUCAAGAAGCCGUAAAAUGUGCAGAAGAGGGGAUGGCAUCUGACCAUAGUUUCAAAGUUGCAUUAAAUGCCUUGAGAGAGGCUAGGAUUAAAAUUACUACUGCUAAGAAAAAUGCCAUCAAUGCCCAGAAACUUGAGACUGCAGCCAGCACCAACUUUCUGGAUGAGAACACCACAGUUGGUAGUCAGGUAGAUAGUUCAUCAGUAGUUACUCUCCAUGACCACCAGCAAGCUAAAAUGAGAGAUUCCUGUGCAGAAAAUGAUAUCUCCAAAUAUGCAUCAGAGCAGUCUUCAAGUAGAGUUAGUAUAUGCACUAAUUGUAAGUGCCCCGGACAUGAGAGUCUUUCUUGCUUGUGGUUAAAGGAUGGAAGAGGAAGCACUUCAUUGGAAAACAAAAUUCAAUAGUUUGCUUAUGAAGGCAGAUCAAUCCGCAUUGGAGACAAUAUUCCCUCAAGAAAAAGUCUACUACAGGCUUGUGUACAGAUAAUUGUUCGUAUGAACUACUUAGCCACAGCAAUGAGUGGACUAUUUUGUAAUUGUCCUUUGUUCUCAUCUGCAAGUGUGAUGUGAAAAGCUAAAAGACAUUGAAGAUUCUAUCUCUUUUCCAUCAAGUAGUCCUUCUUUGUUUUACGGGAGUUAUCUGUUCGCUGGUAAAUAAUUCCUGGAAUUCUCUCUUCUGUGCUGAAAGGGGCAAUCUCAGAGCACUUGUUGGAUAUUGAAUAGCCAUAUAAUGAACUUAUGAACGGAAACUCCUCUGAGGCAUCACUUUGAGAUUUGUUGCUUCUGUUGGUACAAUUAAGUUGAAGAAUAAAUUCCUAUUUCUAACAUCUGCAACCAAUGAAUCAAGAGUUCUCUCAUGGUUACAAUUCUCAAGUGCUCUGCGAUACUCAAGCUGUUCUGCAGCAAACUGGAUUUGGUUCAGCAGCCAAGAUUAAUGAUUAUUUGUUUGUCAAAUUUUUGACUUUAUGUUGGAAGAGUCCAUAGCUAUGAUCAUUUCUCAUGUUCUCAGUAAAUUCAUGAUAACAUUGUCAAAGAUCAUGUUUUAGUAUUACACUUCACAAGGGAACCACUCAAACAUAAAACCUUAAGUUGAUCGAUAAGGGUCUGAGCAUAAGUUUUAACCUCUAGUGCUUUCCGCCAAUGAAUCAAAGGAUCACCUUGUGAGAUGAGGUCAUGAUGCAUGCCAUAUGAAAUGGCCCUGCUAUUUCUAAGCA